CGGCACGCCUAACACAUGCAAGUCGAACGAAGUAGCAAUACUUAGUGGCAGACGGGUGAGUAACAUGUGGGUAUCUACCCUUUGGCCUGGAAUAACACGAGGAAACUUGUGCUAAUACCGGAUAAGUCUUUACGGAGAAAGCUUUAUGCACCAUUGGAUGAGCCUGCACUUGAUUAGUUUGUUGGUAGGGUAAUGGCCUACCAAGACUAUGAUCAAUAGCUGAUUUGAGAGGAUGAUCAGCCACAUUGGGACUGAGACACGGCCCAAACUCCUACGGGAGGCAGCAGUGGGGAAUCUUGCACAAUGGAGGAAACUCUGAUGCAGCGAUGCCGCGUGAGUGAAGAAGGCCCUUGGGUUGUAAAGCUCUUUCGUCGGGGAAGAAAAUGACUGUACCCGAAUAAGAAGGUCCGGC
rnacentral:rRNA from 1 species